AUUGAACGCUGGCGGUAGGCCUAACACAUGCAAGUCGAACGCGAAAGUCCUUCGGGAUGAGUAGAGUGGCGGACGGGUGAGUAACGCGUAGGAAUCUAUCCUGUAGUGGGGGAUAACGUUUCGAAAGGAACGCUAAUACCGCAUACGCCCCAAGGGGGAAAGCGGGGGAUCUUCGGACCUCGUGCUAUAGGAGGAGCCUGCGUCGGAUUAGCUAGUUGGUGAGGUAAAGGCUCACCAAGGCGACGAUCCGUAGCUGGUCUGAGAGGAUGAUCAGCCACACCGGAACUGGGACACGGUCCGGACUCCUACGGGAGGCAGCAGUGGGGAAUAUUGCGCAAUGGGCGAAAGCCUGAUGCAGCCAUACCGCGUGUGUGAAGAAGGCCUUCGGGUUGUAAAGCACUUUCAGUGGGGAGGAAAAGCUUGUGGCUAAUAUCCAUCGGCCGUGACGCUACCCACAGAAGAAGCACCGGCUAAUUCCGUGCCAGCCGCCGCAGUAACAC
rnacentral:rRNA from 1 species